UAUCCCACGGUGCCUAUACCACGUGACUUUUUAAGAUCUGUGUGGGGAGUAAAAUAUCAACAAAAGCGCGACGAAGGUAUGGCUCAAUGCUCCGAAUGCGGAAAAAUGUCGAAGACCAGAGCUGGAUUAUUGCGCCACAUUAGGGGACACGCUAACUCUGGAAACUAUAACUGCUGUGGGAAAGCAUUUCAGGAUGCCUACAAUCUUAGAAGGCUUCAACGAACAAAGGACCCCAAUGUCACGUGUGUGUACGGUGCGGCAGGAGCUUUGCGGACAAGUACCUACUCGUGGCUAGAGAGAAAAGUGCAAAAAAGAG